GGAAGUCUGGUGCCAGCAGCCGCGGUAAUUCCAGCUCCAAUAGCGUAUAUUAAAGUUGUUGCAGUUAAAAAGCUCGUAGUUGAAUUUCGGGAUCAGAUUGUCGGUCGUGCCUCGGUACGCACUGGCAUUAUUGGUUCCUACCUUCUGAAGAACCGCGAUGUCAUUAAUUUGGUGUCGUGGGGAAUCAGGACUGUUACUUUGAAAAAAUUAGAGUGUUUAAAGCAGGCGCACGCUUGAAUACAUUAGCAUGGAAUAAUGAAAUAGGACGUUUGAUUCUAUUUUGUUGGUUUCUAGGAUCGACGUAAUGAUUAAUAGGGAUAGUUGGGGGCAUUAGUAUUCAAUUGUCAGAGGUGAAAUUCUUGGAUUUAUUGAAGACUAACUACUGCGAAAGCAUUUGCCAAGGAUGUUUUCAUUAAUCAAGAACGAAAGUUAGGGGAUCGAAGACGAUCAGAUACCGUCGUAGUCUUAACCAUAAACUAUGCCGACUAGGGAUCGGAUGAUGUUAAUUUUAUAAUGACUCAUUCGGCGCCUUACGGGAAAC
rnacentral:rRNA from 1 species